rnacentral:lncRNA from 1 species
CGAAAAACAACCAUGGCUAUCCGCUUGCCUCGUAUCGUUGGUUCUAAGAAAGUUCCCAAGGGCUACUUUGCAGUUUAUGUUGGAGAAAACCAGAAGAGGUUCGUGAUACCAGUGUCGUUCUUGAGCCAGCCUUUAUUCCAAGAUUUGCUUGGCAUGUCACAAGAAGAGUAUGGAUAUAGUCAUCCUACAGGCGGUCUCACAAUUCCCUGCAACGAAGACAUUUUUCUCGAUGUUACCUCUUGUUUGAAUUGAUUGUGAGAGAAUCAACACAAAUCAGCCUAUACAAUUUUGUAAAGCAAAAAUCACUAACACCACGUAAACAUUUUUUCCUCCAUCCUUUUUGCCUUGGGGAGCAGAUACAAGUCUCCCUAAGUGAAAAAUUAGAGAUGGUGAUUACUGUAACUUCUAUCAAUCAGUAUGGAAAAUGACAAUUCAAAACGCAUCAAUAAAAUGGAAUUUUAUUUACUUCCAGAAUUUCCUAUCUUUAAAUUAACUGUAAAUGAUCUACCUUGUUCUAAGUUAUUCGGACUCUUCAUUUUCAUUAGAAUACAUGCAUCCAACACAAAUUCAAACAUGAGUCCAAAAUAGCAUGAUUCUCCAAAUAUAUGAAAAAACAUAGAAAAUGUAUUCAACAUUCAAGCACUAGCCCGAGUAACAUAGACUAUAAUAAUGAGUAGUCUUAUAUCCCCUUAUUGCAAUCUUUUAGCCAAAGAGUUAAAGCUUCGUUCUUUUCUCAAGUAGGAAUUAGUCUUUAUAUAUAAUAAUGAAUAGUCAAAAUAUGCAGAGAACACUUAACAAACAUGCCAUCAAACAAGUGGACUAAAAACAGGUUCAUCUGCAAGGUCAUCCAUAUAUAGCAGCACAUACCAGAAAUCUAGUGAGCUGUCAAGCUGAAUAUUGUUUUCAACUCCAUAGAACUAUUUGAUUGCAGCACGGCUAGUCAACAACAAGGAUAAAAUGCAAAUAGUUGGGUUCUGAUGAGGACUAGUUGCAACCUGUAGGACACACUUAAAGUGCUCUUCACAAGGGUUUGUCUUACAAGAUCCAUACCUUAUUAAAAUCAACAUGCUUGGUGAGGUCACCCAUGUUACAUGUUUCCUGUCAUUUUCUGAUAGAUUAUAUGUCUCUAAAGUAGGCACUGGCAUAAAUGGUGAAGUGGUACAACUCUCCUAUUGUAAAGAAGAAUUUUACUGGCCCAGAUCUUUCAUUCGACCAGUCCUUGGUCGGUUUCUAUUGCCAUAAGGGAUAGGCAAACUAAUUUUUCAAAGCCUUUCCCGUGGAAUUCUUUAUAAUGAGUUACAAGACAGCACCAUGUGAUCCUCCCCUAAUGAAGCCAUGUCUUUCUUAUUAGUUAUCAGACCCCAGAAAUUUCCCCUUCACCACUCAUUGAACAUCCCUACUCAACACAGGAACAUGAUUUUUUCUGUCUACCCCUUUCAUCUAUAUAUACAAAGAAGAAUAUGUUCAUUGGCAACACCUAUCUUCACAUUCUCAAAGUACUACAGUUCUCUGAGAUCUUCCUCUUCUUCCUUUUUAGAAGCAUUCAUCUAUCAAAAAUAACAAUGGCUAUCUGCAUGCCUCGUAUCAUUAGCUCUAAGAAAGUUCCCAAGGGCUACUUUGCAGUUUACGUUGGAGAAAACCAGAAGAGGUUCGUGAUACCAGUGUCAUUCUUGAACCAGCCUUUAUUUCAAGAUUUGCUUGGCAUGUCAGAACAAGAGUUCGGAUAUAGUCCUCUUACUGGCGGUAUCACAAUUCCCUGCAACGAAGAUAUCUUUCUCGUUGUCACCUCUCGAUUCAACUGAUUUGUGAGAGAUUUAACACAAAUCAACCCAUACAUUUUUGUAAAGCAAACAAAACUAACACUAUGUAAACACCUUUUUCCCAUCCUUUUCUGCCUUGGGGAGCAAAUACAAGUCUCCCUAAGUGGAAAGUUAGAAAUGGUUGUUACUGUAACUUCUAUCAAUCAGUACAAAAGAUGGCAGUUCGAAACACAUUGUUCAUUUCAAAUUUUAUUUCUUUUCAGAGUUUCCCCUGUUAUUGUUAGUUUCAUCUUUAUUUUUACUGUAAAUGAUCUACAUUGUUCAAAAUUUACUUCAACCAACAUGCUCAGUUAUAUAGACUCUUCAUUUUUCUUAAAGCAUCUGUUCUAACUUCUAACACCUAUAUCCAACACAUAUUUGGCUGUAAGUAUGAGAGUAUGAUCCUCCAAAUAUAUAAAAGAUUUUGACCUUGAAGAAAAGUGUCGUUUCCCCAAUUUUUAGUUGUGUUUCAACAGCAAAGAAAGAUAAAAUCUUGCUGUUUUUUAUAUUUAUUUUCUUAGUCGAGUCUACAUAGAAUGUCAAGGUAGUCCAUACUUGCUUCCUUCUGGUCAUUGUAUAACACAUUACAUGUCUCAAGCUUGCCUCUAAAAUCAAGAUAAAAUCAUUUGUAGUUGGACUCUUCAUUUUCUUCAAAAUACAAGUGUCUGGCACAAAUUCAAACACGAAUAUAAAGUAUAUGAUCCUCCAAAUAUAAGAAGAAAAAAAAAACUUAGAAAAAUUCGAGAACACCCGUAAAUACUCAAGCUCAAGUCCUGGUAACAUAGACUACAAGUAUUCUUUUUUGCAUAUUAGUAAGGUUAUUAAAUGAUCAAUUUUAUUUCAUAAAUUUCAAAGUAAUUUUCUUAAUGCAGAUUUGACAAAGAAUUAAUACCUAUGUCUCACUGUUCUUCAAAAGCCAGAAAUCAAUUUUUAACUAUAUAGACAAAGUGACUUGAAAUUAUAUAUGCAGAGAACUCAACAAUAUCAGUAAUGUGGAUUAAAAACAGAUUCAUCUCUAUGGUUAUUCAUAUCUAUAUAUAGCACAACAUACCAGAAAAUUUUGGUUAGCUGUCAAGGCUUAAUAUUGUAAUGGAACAAUUUGAUUGUAGCAUGGCAUAGACAACAACCAGAAUAAAAUGCAACCAAUUGGGGUUCCGAUGAGGACUAGUUGUAGCAUGUCCACACACUUAAGGCGCUCUUCAGAAGGGCUUGUCUUACAAGUUACUCACCAAAGGAAGACAUGAGUGUAAUAGGAGAGGUCAAGGUCACCCAUGUUAUAUGUUUCCUGUCAUUGUCUGACAGAUUAUAUGUCUCAAAUGUAGCCUGAAAUAAACGGCAAAGCAGUCUGUCCUUAGUCGGUUAUUCUUUCAAGCCUUAGCCAUGGAAUUCUUUAUCAUCCUUUGGAAGACAACACCAUGUGAUUCCCCAUGAACCCAUGUCUUUCUCAUUACGGAUCAGACCCCAUCAAUUGCACCUUCACCACUCAUUCCAUAUCCCCCCUUAAUAGUAGAUGAACAUGAUUUCCUCUCUGCCCCUUACAUCUAUAUAUACAAGUAAGAUUAAGUUCAUUGCCAACACCUACCUUCAACAUUCUCAAGCUUGCUUCCCCAAGUUAUCUGAAACCUUCCCUCUUCUUCCUUUUUCAAAGCAUACAUCUAUCGGAAAACAACAAUGGCUAUCCGCUUGCCUCGUAUCGUUAGCUCUAAGAAAGUUCCCAAGAGCUACUUUGCAGUUUAUGUCGGAGAAAACCAGAAGAGGUUCGUGAUACCGGUGUCGUUCUUAAACCAGCCUUCAUUUCAAGAUUUGCUAGGCAUGUCACAAGAAGAGUUCGGAUAUAGUCAUCCUACUGGCGGUCUCCCGAUUCCCUGCAAUGAAGACACCUUUCUCGAAGUUACCUCUCGCUUGUAAUAAUUGUGAGAUGAUUAACACAAAUCAGGCAAUAUAAUUUUGUAAAGCAAAAAUCACUAAUACAUGUAAACAUUUUUUUCUCCAUCCUUUUGGCCUUGGGGAGCUGAUAUAAGUCUCCCCAAGUGGAGAACUAGAGAAGGUGAUUAGUGUAACACUCCCAUCCAUCAGUAAUGAUAGUUCAAAACACAUCAUUCAAUUGUCAUUUUAUUUCCUUUCUGAAUUUUUUACUUGUUCGCGUUAAUUCAUCUUUAAUAUAAACUGUAAAUGAUCUACUUUGUUCUAAAAUUACUUUCAAACGUGAGUACAUGCUAAGUUAUUUGGAGUUGGACCCUUUAUUUUCGUUCAAUUUCAUGUGUCCAACACAUAUUCAAACAUGAGUACAAAGUCUAGUUAAGAUAGAUCACAAGUUUUCUUUUGCAUGGUAGUAGCUUAUUAAACGAUCAAUUUCGUGUUAUAAUUUUCAAAGUAAUUUUCUUAAUGUAGAUUUGCCCAAGAAUUAAGAUAUAUAAAGAUUUGAGGCAGGGGACUAAGUGAUUAAUAAAACGAACCUAAGGACAAAAGAUUUUAAAGGAAAAAAGAGAAAAGUAAAAGAGAGAUAAGUUCAUGAUACAUGCUGAUUAGUUUUAUCAGAAAGUAAACUUGCCUAAUAUGGACGUCUUUCCCACAUCAUUCUUUUUACUUACUUGGUUCUAUGAAAUAUGGUUAAUCGACAUUGCUCAAAUUCAAGAAAAUUUUCAAGUACUCUAAACUCCAAUCAUGUAUAUGGAGACAAAUAUACAAAUGACGGAAUGUAACAUCAAAUAGCAGAUUUUUUAUCCAAAAGGUAACGUCAAAUAUGUUCACACUAAGCAUAUUACUAUCCAAAAGGUGACAGCAGCUGCAUAAAUAACCAAAGGCCAUCUUGUUGUUUAUGUAGGUGAAUCCCAAAAGAGGCUGGUUUAUAAUUCCUGUUUCAUUCUUAAAGCACCCUUCAUUUCAAGAACUGAUAAAGUAGACUGAAGAGGAGUUUGGCUUUGAAUCAUCCAAGGGGUAGUCUCACAGUCCCAUGUGCAGAAGAAGCCUUCAUUGAACUUUCUUGUAGUUUGAAAAGCUUUCUCACUUUGACCUGACAUCUUAUCUCCCCAAUAUAAUAAUGAAUAGUAAAAAAUGUGCAGAGAACAGAACAAACAUACCACCAGAAAUGUGGACUAAAAACAGACUUAUUUGUAAUGGUAUCCAUAUAUAUAUAUAGCAGCACAUACCAGAAAUUUAGUGAGCUGUCAAGCUGAAUAUUGUCUUCACCCCUGUAGAACUAUAUGAUUGCAGCACGGCAUAGACAACAAACCUGGAUAAAAUGCAACAAGUUGGGUUCAGAUGAGGAGUUGUUGUAGCCUGUAGGACGCACUUUAGGCGCUCUUCACAAUGGAUUGUCUUGCAAGUUUUAUGUGAAGUCUGUACGAAAUAGGAGGUCAACGUCACCCAUGUUACUUGUUCCCUAUCAUUGCAUGACAGAUUGUAUGUCUCUAAAGGUUGGCUCUAACGUCAAUGGUGAAGUAAUAAAAAUCAUCUACUAGGAAGAAGCUUUUAUGAAUCCGAAUCUUCCAUAUCUGAGUAGGUCCUUAGUCGGUUCAUUUUCCCGGCAAGGUAGGGAAACUAUUCUUUCAAGUCUUAGCCAUGGAAUUCUUGAUAAUGCUUUGGAAGACAACACCAUGUGAUUCCCCGUAUACCCAUGUCUUUCUAUUUACUGAUCAGACCCCAGCAAUUGCACCUUCACCACUCAUUCCACAUCCCCCACUUAAUAAUAGAUGAACAUCAUUUCCUCUCUGCCCUACACAUCUAUAUAUACAAGUAAGAGUAAGUUCAUUGGCAACACCUCCCUUCAACAUUCUCAAGCUUGCUUUCCAAGUUAUCUGAUAUCUUCCUUUUCUUCCCUUUUGAAGCAUACAUCCAUCAAAAACAACAAUGGCUAUCCGCCUGCCUCGUAUGGUUAGUUCUAAGAAGGUUCCCAAGGGAUACUUUGCAGUUUAUGUUGGAGAAAGCCAGAAGAGGUUAGUGAUACCGGUUUCAUUCUUGAACCAUCCUUCAUUUCAAGAUUUGCUAGGGAAGUCAGAAGAAGAGUUUGGAUAUAGUCAUCCUACCGGUGGUCUCACAAUUCCCUGCAACGAAGACACCUUUCUCGAAGUUACCUCUCGCCUGUAUUGAUCGUGAGAUGAUUAACACAAACCAGUCAAUACAAUCUUGUAAAGCAAAAAUCACUAAAUACAUGUAAACAUUUUUUUCUCCAUCCUUUUUGUCUUGGGGAGCUGAUAUAUAAGUCACCCCAAGUGGAAAACUAAAGAUGGUGAUUACUGUAACACUCCUAUCUAUUCAGUAAUGACAGUUCCAAACACAUCAUUCAGUUGUCAUUUUAUUUCCUUUCUGAAAUUUUUACUUGUUUUACGUUAAUUCCGUCUUUAAUAUAAUUUAAAUGAUCUACCUUAUUCGAAAUUACUUCAUACUACAAGCCAAGUUAAAUGGAGAAGCAGUAGAGUACAACUAUUCUACUUUGAAGAAGCAUUUUAAAGAUGAAAAUUAAAACACAUCAUUCAAUUGAAAAUUUAUUUCCUUUGAGAAUUUCCUAUGGUACCCCUGUUAUUGUUAAUUUCAUCUUUAAACUGUAAGUGAUCCAUAUUUUUUCAACAAUUACUUCAUAUUACAAGCUAACUGUAAAUUACUAGCAUUUAUCAUUUUUCUCUACAUAUACGAGUAGUAAGGGUGCUUCCCACUGUCCAAUAUGAAUAUAAUUGUACAUAUAUAAUCUAACAUAAUGUAAAUUUCUGUAUUCUUUUGUCUCCAUUGUUCCUGUAAAGGAAAUUCAAAGUAAAAUUCACCACCCACUUUUAUUCUCCUUUUUGCAAACAAUGACUACUUAAUAUAUAGAUGUCAGCAAGUGGAAUGUAAGGCCACCAUCAUCAUCACUUCUUCUAUUCAAAUUCCCUUUUGACCAGUCGUCUUAUCUCCCCUUAUCCCAUUCAUUUAGCUAAAGUGUUAAGCUUACUGUUACUAAUAAAUGGUCAAUAUAUGCAGAGAACUCCACAAACAUGCCAUCAGUAAUGUGGAUUAAAAUCAUAUUCAUCUGUCAGGCUUAAUAUUGUCUUUCUCCCCCAUGGUACAAUUUGAUUGCAGCACAGCAUAGACAACAAGACGGAUAAAAAUGCAAGAAGUUGGGUUCUGACGAGGACUAGUUGCAGCCUAUAAGACACACUUCAGGUGUUCUUCACAAGCGUUUGUCUUACAAGUUACUCAUUGAAGUUAACACAUGACUGAUCAGACCAUGUGAUUUACCAAUGAAUUCUUGAUAAUCCUUUGGAAGACAACACCAUGUGAUUCCCCAUGACCCUAUGUCCUUCUCAUUACUGAUCAGACCCCAGCAAUAUGUCCCUUCACCACUCAUUCCCUUUGGCCCCCUUACAUCUAUAUAUACAAGUAUGAUUAUGUUCAUAUGCAACACAUAUCUUCACAUCCUCAAAGUACUACAGUUCUCUGAGAUCUUCUUCUACCCUUUUGAAGCAUACCUCUAUUGGAAAACAACCAUGGCUAUCCGCUUGCCUCAUAUCGUUGGUUCUAAGAAAGUUCCCAAGGGCUACUUUGCAGUUUAUGUUGGAGAAAACCAGAAGAGGUUCGUGAUACCAGUGUCGUUCUUGAGCCAGCCUUUAUUCCAAGAUUUGCUUGGCAUGUCACAAGAGGAGUUUGGAUAUAGCCAUCCUACAGGCGGUCUCGCGAUUCCCUGCAACGAAGACAUUUUUCUCGAUGUUACCUCUCGUUUGAAUUGAUUGUGAGAGAGUCAACCCAAAUCAGCCUAUACAAUUUUGUAAGCAAAAAUCACUAACACCAUGUAAGCAUUUUUUCCUCCAUCCUUUUUGCCUUGGGGAGCAGAUACAAGUCUCCCUAAGUGAAAAAUUAGAGAUGGUGAUUACUGUAACUUCUAUCAAUCAGUAUGGAAAAUGACAAUUCAAAAGGCAUCAAUAAAAUGGAACUUUAUUUACUUCCAGAAUUUCCUAUCUUUAAAUUAACUGUAAAUGAUCUAUGUUGGAACUUAAGCAGUAAAACAAAAACAAAAACAGCAGACUAAGCAAAGAAAUCGAAGCAUAAACAAAAUGAAAAAAAUUGGGAGAAUUGUAACCGAAAAAAUUCAUCUUAAUUUUUCAUUCAAAAUUUGAAUAAUAUAUAAGUUACAAAGUAAUGGGCAGUUAGCUAAUGACUUAAUUGCUUCCACUAAUACAAGACUAAGAUUUGUUUGAAUUACACACAAAAGAUAGCUGACAUAUCAGCUAUUACAUCAACUUAGAUCAUAAACUAAUCCUACUAACUUUGUAAACAAAUUACAAAUGAAUUAGCCAAAGUUACAUAGGAAAAAAAUGAUCAAAACAUAUUGUUGCAUUCGGUUCAGCUCCAUUUCUGCACUUCAAACAGUCUUGCUGCUGGUGUUGUGCUGAACUGCAACUGGUCUCCUGUUGCAAUGCAGGCCAAAGCUAGUAGCUCCUAAUGGCUUAGUUAAAAUGUCAGCCAAUUGAGUUUCUGAGCUACAAUGGACAAACAAGAUUGACUUCCCUUGAUUGCUCAGCUUCUCGAACAAAAUGGAAUUUGAUUUUAAAGUGUUUAGUCUUGCCAUAAAAGACUGGAUUUUUGGUUAUAACAACUGCAGAUUGGUUAUCCACCCUAAUCUCAGUUGGUUCAGCUUGUUCUUCAUUAAGAUCAUAUAGGAGCUUCCUAAGCCAAAUGGCUUGAUUAACAGCUGCAGCUGCUGCAAUGUAUUCUGCUUCAGCUAUGGAUUGAGCAACAGUUUGUUGUUUCUUUGAACUCCAGAAGAAGACACCUGAUCCAAGUGUAAAGAAGUAACCAGAGGUGUUCUUCAUGUCAUCGGCAGAGCCAGCCCAAUCACUAUUAGAGUAUCCUGCUAGCUUAAGCUCCUUUCCCUUCUCAAACUUGACUCCAUAACUUGAAGUUCCCUUGACAUAUCUGAGAAUUCUCUUGGCUGCUUUGAAAUGAACCACAUCAUAGCAGUGUAUAAACCUUGACAAAAGACUAACACCAAACAUAAUAUCAGGCCUAGUUACUGUUAAGUAAAGCAAGCAACCUACCAGGCUUCGAUAUUCCUUCUCAUCAAUUCUCACUUGAUUCCCAUUGCUAGUCAGCUUCUCCCCUUGAGCCACAGGUGUGCUGACUAUUUUGCAGUUCUGCAUAUAAAGUUUAUUAAGAAUUUUUAAAGCAAAGGCAUGUUGAAUAAUGAAAAUACCUUGAUCAGAUUGAUGCACUUCCAUACCAAGGAAGUAUGUCAUGACUCCCAAAUCUGUCAUUUCUAGUCAGCUUCUCCCCUUGAGCCACAGGUGUGCUGACUAUUUUGCAGUUCUGCAUAUGAAGUUUAUUAAGAAUUUUUAAAGCAAAGGCAUGUUGACUAAUGAAAAUACCUUGAUCAGAUUGAUGCACUUCCAUACCAAGGAAGUAUGUCAUGACUCCCAAAUCUGUCAUUUCAAACACCUCUUGCAUCUGCACUUUGAAUUCACUAAUCACUUCAUGUUUGCUUCCAGUCACAAGUAAGUCAUCCACAUAGAGAGAAACAAUCAGCAAUGUCUCACUUUCUGACCUCUUCACAUAAAGUGUAGCCUCAAUAACACUUUUUUCAAACCUGAGCCUAGACAGGUAUGUGUCAAUCCUAUCAUACUAGGGUCUUGGUACCUGCUUCAGGCUAUAAAGAGUCUUUCUCAAUCUAUAGACUUUGUCUUCAUCACCUACAACUUUGAAUCCAUCAAGUUGCUCAAUGAAAAUCUCCUCCUUGAGGAAACCAUUCAAAAAUGCUGACUUAACAUCUAAUUGAUGAACAUUCCAUUACUUCUGAGUAGCCAAGGCAAAAAAAAGUUUAAUUGUGUCCAGCCUUGCCACUAGAGCAAAUGUCUCCGUGAAAUCGAUGUCAUAUUGCUGGCUGUAGCCUUUUACCACAAGCCUUGUCUUGUGCUUGUUCAAUGAGCCAUCAGCAUUUUACUUGGCUCUAAACACCCACUUAACACCAAUGACCCUCUUAUGAUCAGGUCUGUUCACCAGUUCCCAUGUAUCAUUCUUGUAGAUCAUUUUCAAUUCAGCUUCUAUGGCCCUUUUCCAAUGUUUGUCAUUGGCAGUUUCUUUAAAAUCAGAGGGUUCAACUAUUGCAACAUCACAUCUUUGAUAGAUGUCAAUAAUAGUUUUGGUGCCUCUCACAGGAGCAUCAUCAAUGGCUUCAUUGCUGGGUCCUUCUUCAGCAGGUUCAAGAACAAAAUCUUGCUAAUCUUCUUCAAUCAAGCUGGCAUCAACACCUUUCCAGCUCCAAACCUUACAUCCCUACUCACCAAAAUCUUCUUUGUUGAGGGAUCAAACACUUUAUAGUCCUUCUUAGUACUACUAUAGCCAACAAAGAUCCCUGGAACAACUCUUCUUUCAAGCUUGGUCCUUUUUUCUACUGGAGAGCAUAACACACACAGCCAAACACUUCCAGGUGUGAAACAAUUGGCUUAAGUCCAUACCAAGCUUCAAAAGGAGUCUUGUCCUUGACAGCAUGAGUUGGUAGCUUAUUGAGUAGGUACACUGAAGUAUUGACUACCUCAGCCCAAAAUUUGCUUGGCAGUUUGCUCUGAAAUAGCAAAUAUCUAGCCAUAUCAAGCACAGUUUUAUUCUUCCUACCUGAGACCAUUGCCGGAAUCGAGCACGAAGCAUUACCUAACUUAACUUACUAAAUCGGAGCAUAAAAAUUUUCUUUUUAAAAAAAAUUAAUUCACUCACGUUCAAUCAAUAUGUCCCUAAAAAGGAUCAUCAAGACCCUAAAACAUGCAAUGAAAAUGGUUCAGGUCCAAACCGGGAAUAUUAAAAAUUUUUCAAAUACUUAAACAAAUUAAAAAUAAUUUAUCACUAUUCACAAUAAAACUGUCCAACUGCACAGUAGUCACUAAAUUAAUUAUAACUUGAGUUACGAAACUAGAAAUUUAAAUAUGUAAAAUUUCUCUAAAACUAGACUCAUAUAUCUUAUUAUCAUAAAAUUUUCAGAAUUUUUGGAUUGGCCAAUUAGUACAGUUUAUUAGUUAAAGUCUCCCCUGUUUCACUAUUUGAUAGUUUUGACCUCUCGUCACUAAAAAUUAAUUAUCUCAUUGUACAGAUUUCAUAUGCUACUUCCGCUUGUUUCUACUGAAAAUAGACUCACCAAGGAAUCAAGAAAUAUAAAUUAUAACUCAUAAUUAUUUCUGUACAAUUUUUAAUAAUUUUCCAAAUUCAGGACAAGGGAUUUCAAAAUCAUUCUGACCCUAUCUCACUAAAAUUCAAAUAUCUCAUAAUAUAAAAUUCAUUUGCCUAUACCGUUUCUUUCAUAUGAAAAUAGACUCGAUAAUAUUUAAUCCUAUCUCACAUUCACUAUCUAAUUCCAUUACUAAUAUCCUCAGUGAAAUUUUCAAAAUCACAUCACUGCUACUGUCCAAGAAAAAAAACUAUUCCAUUGUAUUUUUUUUUUUACUCUUUCAUAAUUUCUUUGUAUUAACUAGCAUUUAGGCAUACAUAACACUAAACAUAUUCUUAAUUAGUCAUCUCAAUAGCUAAUCAUUAUCAAAUAACUUUACUUCCCUAUUUCAACCUUUUUCGAAACACAAUCCAAACAAUUAACCAUGUUAUUUAAUCAAGCAUGAAACCACACAUAUCAAAAUAAACAAGCCAUUUUUGCAUGGCUCAUUAUACAUAUAUAUACAUCAUUCAAAAUAUAUUCCAAAAAGUAGUAUAGACUAUACAUGCCAUAAGUUUAAGUUUAACUUUUAUAGAUACCGAUAACGGACGAUAGUGUGAUUGAUUUCGUUAACGAUCCCCGAUCCCGCAACUAACUUCCAAAAUCUAUAAAACCGAGGCAAACACAUAUGCACAGUAACCUAUCAAAGCUUAGUAAGUCAUAAGCAAAUAAACAAUCCAAUGUUAUUAAUAGUUCAAUAUCACAUAACCAAAUUAUUCAAUUCAUAUCCAUAUAUAUAUAUAAGCAUUAAAAAAAAAACAUAAUUGUGAUAUCACAUACCCUUAUCAUUUGGCCAAAUAUAGUCUUUAAUACACACACACAUACUUUCAUUUACAUCAUCUAAUUUGUAUCACAAAUGAAAUAACCAACUUACCUUGAUAUCAUAUAUUAUUUAACUAUUACAUACUUGUAAUAUCAUGUACUUAUAUGUCACAUUCAUCAUUCACUGGAUCCGCACAAUUUGUGCUAAAUAAUUUGUUGAAGCUAUAAUGACGUUGCACAAUUAGUGCUCUCUCUUAUUUAACGAAAUUGAUCUUGGUAUUGCACACUUAGUGCUCGUUAUUCGACAUCGUCAUUUUUGUUUCGCACACUUAGUGCCCGUUAUUCAACGUCUUCAUUUUAAUUUCUCACACUUAGUGCCAUUCGUAUAGCCAUAGCUAUUCCAUACUCGCACACUCAGUGCUAAAUAUCGGUAAAUCACAUCCACAUCUAUUUCUGUUACCCGAACUUAAACACAUUCAGCUACAUAUAUAUAAAUUUGCAUGUUUUCAUUUCAGAAUAUAUAUAACUAAUAUUUAUUUAGAAUUUAUAUCAUCUAUUUGCUUAUAAACUUACCUCGGAUAACGAUAAACCGGAACGGAACGAUUAAUCGACGACUUUUGUUUUCCCCCGAUCCAAGUCCGAUUUCUUUAAUUCUUGACCUAAACAUAUUCAAAUUAAACUCAUUCAAACAUAAUUUCAUUCAAUUCAGUCAAAAACGCAUAAAUAAGUAACUUUCACUUUUGCCCCUGACAUUUCACAUUUUUUACAAUUUAGCCCAUAUUUCACAAAAUACAAAAUAUUCCAAAUUUGACCACACUAUGGCUUGGCCGAAUAUUCCCUAAACUCAUAUAAGUCCAUACAUGUCAUUUAUUUCACAUAUUUAACACCUAUUUUAUAACCUUUACAAAAUGGUCCUUUUAAGUGUUUUCAUGGUAACACCUUUUACAAAAGUUGUUUAUUUAACAACUAGGAGUCAUUUUCUUCCAUAAAAAUGCAGCAACAUCACAUGGAAAAACCCUAGACUUCCAACUAUUUUGCAAAAUAGUCCCCUCAUUAGCUAGCUCAAGCUACAAGGGUUCCAAAAGUACAAAAAUUAUCAAAGAAUGGUCAUCAAAACACUUACUUGUAAGGAGAAAAGCUUGCUGAAAUUUUUAAGCUCUCAAACCCCUACUUUGCUGCUAAUUUUCGGUGAUGAAGGUGGAGAAAAAAAGAUGAUAUCACUCUUUUCUUUAUUUUAUGAUAAAAAUCAAUUUAGUCACCAAAUUUUUACCUAACCAAUUGACCAAAUCUUUUCUUUGUCCCUAUGGCCGGCCACCACCCUAAACAAGGCCUAAUUGCACAUUAGGGACCUCCAAUUAAUAUUCUAUAGCUUUUAGACACCUUUAGCUUGUAAAGUAGAACUUUUACACUUUAUGCGAUUUAGUCCUUUUAUCAAAUUAAGCACACAAACAGUAAAAUUAAAUCACGAAAUUUUCACACAUAUUAAUUCACAAGUUAUAAACAUAGAAAAUAAUAUUUAAAAAUUUUUCUAACUCGAAUUUGUGGUUUCGAAACCACUAUUCCGAUUAGGAUCGAAAUCGGGUUGUUACACAUACUCCAUUCUGUUGAGGAGUAUACACUGUUGUUAGCUGAUUGUGAAUUCCAACUUGUUCACACAGUUUCUGAAACCUUUCAGAUAGGUACUCAGUGCCAUUAUCAGUUCUCAAGGCCUUGAUCUUGCAACCUGUUUGGUUUUCAACUAAACCUUUGAAUUUGCUGAAUGCUUCAAACACUUCAGAUUUUUGCUUCAAGAAAUAAACCCAACAGAACCUGGUUAAGUCAUCUAUGAACAAAACAAAAUACUUAUUGUCAUUCAAUGAAGAAGUCUUCAUUGGUCCACAAACAUCAUAAUGAACCAAUUCAAGCUUUUCUCGAGCUCUCCAUGCACUGUUAGCUGGAAAAGGCAAUCUAGCCUGCUUACCAAGCUGGCAGACUUCACAAACAAUGUUUCUUAUCUCAACCCUAGACAUGUCCUCAACCAAGUUCAGCCUAUGCAACAAGUCAAGUGAUCUAUGGUUAACAUGGCCAAGCCUUUUGUGCCAUAGGCCAACAUUAUCAACAAGACUGGUGUAGGCUUUCUUCUCGAGUUGAUUCACAUUGAGCAUAAAACACUUGUCCGUCAUUGCUACUGUGACUAACUUCUGGCCAAAUGAAUCUUUAACAAUGCAGGAGAUAUCUUUAAAGACCAAAGAAUAUCCUUUUUCCACUAACUGACCAACACUAAGCAGAUUCUGAUCUAUGUCAAGCACAAAAAACACAUCAGAAAUGAUUUUGUUACCUGAACAAGUCUUGAUCACAACAUCUCCUCUGCCUUGAGCUUCAAUUAGAUUCCCAUUACCAAUUUUGAUUUUUGCAGCAAAGCUUCUAUCAAGGUCUUUGAACAGCUUCUCAUCAGCUGCGCCAUAUGGUGUGAGCAACCACUAUCCACUAGCCAGUCACAUCUGACUUUGCUUGUGCUAGCAAAGUAGGAGGCUGUGACAAACAAUUGGGAGAAUUAUAACUGAAAAAAUUCACCUUAAUUUUUCAUUCAAAAUUUGAAUAAUAUAUGAGUUACAAAGUAAUGGGCAGUUACCUAAUGACUUAACUGCUCCCACUAAUACAAGACUAAGAUUUGUUUGAAUUACACGCAAAAGAUAGCUGACAUAUCAGCUAUUACAUCAACUUAAAUCAAAAACUAAUCCUGCUAAAUUUGUGAACAAAUUAAAAAUGAACUAGCCAAAGUUACAUAGGAACAAAAUGAUCAAAACAUAUUGUUGCAUUCGGUUCAGCUAUAUUUUUGCACUUCAAACAGUCUUGCUACUGGUGUUGCGCUGAACUACUGCUGGUCUCCUGUUGCAAUGCAGGCCAAAGCUUAACAAUCUACCUUGUUCUAAGUUAUUCGGACUCUUCAUUUUCAUUAGAAUACAUGCAUCCAACACAUAUUCAAACAUGAGUACAAAAUAGCAUGAUUCUCUAAAUAUAUGAAAAAACAUAGAAAAUGUAUUCAACAUUCAAGCACUAGUCCGAGUAACAUAGACUAUAAUAAUGAAUAGUCUUAUAUCCCUUUAUUGCAAUCUUUUAG